rnacentral:rRNA from 1 species
AUUGAACGCUGGCGGAAUGCUUUACACAUGCAAGUCGAACGGCAGCACGGGGGCAGCCCUGGUGGCGAGUGGCGAACGGGUGAGUAAUACAUCGGAACGUGCCCGGUCGUGGGGGAUAACGUAGCGAAAGUUACGCUAAUACCGCAUACGAUCUGAGGAUGAAAGCGGGGGACCUUCGGGCCUCGCGCGAUCGGAGCGGCCGAUGUCAGAUUGGGUAGUUGGUGGGGUAAAGGCCUACCAAGCCGACGAUCUGUAGCUGGUCUGAGAGGACGACCAGCCACACUGGGACUGAGACACGGCCCAGACUCCUACGGGAGGCAGCAGUGGGGAAUUUUGGACAAUGGGCGCAAGCCUGAUCCAGCCAUUCCGCGUGCAGGACGAAGGCCUUCGGGUUGUAAACUGCUUUUGUACGGAACGAAAAGGCUCUGGCUAAUACCUGGGGCUCAUGACGGUACCGUAAGAAUAAGCACCGGCUAACUACGUG